rnacentral:rRNA from 1 species
AAUGCAUCGGAACGUACCUUUCAGGUGGGGGAUAACGUAGCGAAAGUUACGCUAAUACCGCAUAUUCUGUGAGCAGGAAAGCAGGGGAUCGCAAGACCUUGCGCUGAUUGAGCGGCCGAUGUCAGAUUAGCUAGUUGGUGAGGUAAAGGCUCACCAAGGCGACGAUCUGUAGCGGGUCUGAGAGGAUGAUCCGCCACACUGGAACUGAGACACGGUCCAGACUCCUACGGGAGGCAGCAGUGGGGAAUUUUGGACAAUGGGGCAACCCUGAUCCAGCCAUGCCGCGUGAGUGAAGAAGGCCUUCGGGUUGUAAAGCUCUUUCGGCCGGGAAGAAAUCGCAUGGGUUAAUACCCUGUGCGGAUGACGGUACCGGCAUAAGAAGCACCGGCUAACUACGUG